rnacentral:rRNA from 1 species
ACGGAAGGCAGCAGUGAGGAAUAUUGGUCAAUGGGCGGAAGCCUGAACCAGCCAAGUCGCGUGAAGGAAGACGGUAUUAUGUAUUGUAAACUUCUUUAGGCGCAGAGAAAUAAGCUCCUCGUGAGGAGUGAUGCUAGUAUGCGCAGAAUAAGGAUCGGCUAACUCCGUGCCAGCAGCCGCGGUAAUACGGAGGAUCCGAGCGUUAUCCGGAUUUAUUGGGUUUAAAGGGUGCGCAGGCGGGCUGCUAAGUCUCCGGUGAAAUGUCAGGGCUCAACCUUGGCAUUGCCGGAGAUACUGGCGGCCUUGAGAGUGGCGGAGGUAUCCGGAAUGUGUGGUGUAGCGGUGAAAUGCAUAGAUAUCACACAGAACACCGAUUGCGAAGGCAGGAUACCAUACCAUAUCUGACGCUCAGGCACGAAAGCGUGGGGAUCGAACAGGAUUAGAUACCCUGGUA